rnacentral:rRNA from 1 species
AUUGAACGCUGGCGGCAGGCCUAACACAUGCAAGUCGAACGGAGCGGCGGUCGGGUGAGUGAUGCCUAGGAAUCGGCCUGGUAGCGGUGGAUAACGUCCGGAACCGGGCGCGAAUACCACAUCCUAUCAGAUUAGCCUAGGUCGAAUUAGCUAGUGGGUGGGGUAAGGGCCUACCAGGGCGACGAUCCGUAACUGGUCUGAGAGGAUGAUCAGUCACACUGGAACUGAGACACGGUCCAGACUCCUACGGGAGGCAGCAGUGGGGAAUAUUGGACAAUGGGCGAAAGCCUGAUGCAGCCAUGCCGCGUGUAUGAAGAAGGUCUUCGGGUUGUAAAGCACUUUAAGUUGGGAGGCGUUACCAACAGAAUAAGCACCGGCUAACUCCGUGCCAGCAGCCGCGGUAAUAC